CCAUUUGACCUCAAAUCAGGUAGGACUACCCGCUGAACUUAAGCAUAUCAAUAAGCGGAGGAAAAGAAACUAACAAGGAUUCCCCUAGUAACUGCGAGUGAAGCGGGAAAAGCUCAAAUUUAAAAUCUGGUAGUCUCUGGCUGCCCGAGUUGUAAUCUGGAGAAGUGUUUUCUGUGCUGGGCCGUGUACAAGUCUCUUGGAAUAGAGCGUCAUAGAGGGUGAGAAUCCCGUCUUUGACACGGACAUCCAGUGCUCUGUGAUGCACUCUCAAAGAGUCGAGUUGUUUGGGAAUGCAGCUCAAAAUGGGUGGUAAAUUCCAUCUAAAGCUAAAUAUUGGCAAGAGACCGAUAGCGAACAAGUACCGUGAGGGAAAGAUGAAAAGAACUUUGGAAAGAGAGUUAAACAGUACGUGAAAUUGUUGAAAGGGAAACGCUUGAAGUCAGUCGCGUCUAGCAAGGAUCAGCCUUUCUCGGAAGGUGUAUUUCUUGCUUGACGGGUCAACAUCAAUUUUGAYUACUGGAAAAAGGCCAGAGGAAGGUGGCACCUUCGGGUGUGUUAUAGCCUUUGGUCAUAUACAGUAGUUGGGAUUGAGGAAUUCAGCAUGCCUUCAUGGCUGGGGUUC
rnacentral:rRNA from 1 species